GACGAACGCUGGCGGCGUGCUUAACACAUGCAAGUCGAACGGUGACCCAUCUUCGGAUGGUGAUCAGUGGCGAACGGGUGAGUAACACGUGGGCAACCUGCCCCUAGCUCUGGGAUAACUCCUCGAAAGAGGUGCUAAUACCGGAUAUCACUUCCCUGGACAUCCAGGGUGGUUGAAAGUUUUUCGGCUAGGGAUGGGCCCGCGGCCUAUCAGCUUGUUGGUGGGGUAAUGGCCUACCAAGGCGACGACGGGUAGCCGGCCUGAGAGGGCGACCGGCCACACUGGGACUGAGACACGGCCCAGACUCCUACGGGAGGCAGCAGUGGGGAAUAUUGCGCAAUGGGCGAAAGCCUGACGCAGCAACGCCGCGUGAGGGAUGACGGCCUUCGGGUUGUAAACCUCUUUCAGCAGGGACGAAGCGAAAGUGACUGUACCUGCAGAAGAAGCGCCGGCUAACUACG
rnacentral:rRNA from 1 species